UGGGGAAUAUUGGACAAUGGGCGAAAGCCUGAUCCAGCCAUGCCGCGUGUGUGAAGAAGGUCUUCGGAUUGUAAAGCACUUUAAGUUGGGAGGAAGGGCAGUAAGCGAAUACCUUGCUGUUUUGACGUUACCGACAGAAUAAGCACCGGCUAACUCUGUGCCAGCAGCCGCGGUAAUACAGAGGGUGCAAGCGUUAAUCGGAAUUACUGGGCGUAAAGCGCGCGUAGGUGGUUCGGUAAGUUGAAUGUGAAAGCCCCGGGCUCAACCUGGGAACUGCAUCCAAAACUGGCGAGCUAGAGGAGGGCAGAGGGUGGUGGAACUUCCUGUGUAGCGGUGAAAUGCGUAGAUAUAGGGAGGAACACCAGUGGCGAAGGCGACCACCUGGGCUCAUACUGACACUGAGGUGCGAAAGCGUGAGGAGCAAACAGG
rnacentral:rRNA from 1 species